rnacentral:rRNA from 1 species
AUUGAACGCUGGCGGCAUGCUUUACACAUGCAAGUCGAACGGCAGCACGGGGGCAACCCUGGUGGCGAGUGGCGAACGGGUGAGUAACACAUCGGAACGUGUCCAGUUGUGGGGGAUAACCCAUCGAAAGGUGGGCUAAUACCGCAUGAUCUGGCAACAGCAAAGCGGGGGACUGGUAACGGCCUCGCGCGAUUGGAGCGGCCGAUGUCCGAUUAGCUAGUUGGGGGGUAAAGGCCUACCAAGGCUUCGAUCGGUAGCUGGUCUGAGAGGAUGAUCAGCCACACUGGGACUGAGACACGGCCCAGACUCCUACGGGAGGCAGCAGUGGGGAAUAUUGGACAAUGGGCGAAAGCCUGAUCCAGCCAUGCCGCGUGAGUGAAGAAGGCCUUAGGGUUGUAAAGCUCUUUCAGCGGGGACGAUAAUGACGGUA